rnacentral:lncRNA from 1 species
GCUGGUCGAUGGAGUCCUCCAGCAGCUCCAUGCAGUCCUCGUACGCCGCCCGUGCGAGCUUCUCCAUCUGUAGGUUGGCGACGGCGGCGGCGUGGUAGAACGCCCUGCCGACGCGCCGCAGCGUCACGUUCACGGCGACGUGGACGAGCUCGCUCUCGGGGACGGCCAUGGCGCCGGGGAAGUCGAGGAGGGAGGAGAUGCAGAGGGUCGGGUAUCGGGUCAUGGCGCAGGUUCUGGAGAUGGCCUCGCUGGGCUUGGCGAGCUGCUCAUUCUUCGAGCGUCUGGCAGCGAGGAGGAUUCCCACGGAGGCGGCGGCACCGCCGGCGAGGAGGACGAGAACUGCGGCUAGGGAGCCCAGGAGGAGGCAGCGCCGCCGGCGCCGGGGCCGUUCCUGAGGGGGCGGGGGAAUGCCGGGCCCGGCGGCGGCGGCGGCGGCACGGAAGGACUCCGAGGGGACUAAUUUCCCGUAAUUCAUCCUUCCUCCGCCCCAGAAGGUCGACUUGGUUCUGUGAGAGAGUCGGAGUAAGAGGAGGAGAUAUGGGAAGAGGAGCGUCUCUACACCUGCUGUUAGAGAG